UUCCAGAGAUUCUGGUAUGUUGUGUCUUCAUUCUCAUUGGUUUCAAAGAACUUCUAUUUCUGCCUUCAUUUCAUUGUUUAUCCAGUCAACAUUCAAGAGCCUGUUGUUCAUUUUCCAUGAAGCUGUGCAGUUCUGAGUUAGUUUCUGAAUUCUGAGUUCUAACUUGAUUGCACUGUGGUCUGAGAGACUGUUAUAAUUUCCAUUCUUCUGCAUUUGCUGAGGAGUGCUUUACUUCCAAUUAUGUGGUCAAUUUUAGAGUAGGUGUGAUGUGGUGCUGAGAAGAAUGUAUAUUCUGUGGAUUUGGGGUGGAGAGUUCUGUAAAUGUCUAUCAGGUUUGCUUGUUCCAGAUCUGAGUUCAAGUACUGGAUAUCCUUGUUAAUUUUCUGUCUGGUUGACCUAAUAUUGACAGUGAAGUGUUAAAUUCUCCCACUAUUAUUGUGUGGGAGUCUAAGUCUCUUUGUAAGUCAUUAAGAACUUGCUUUAUGUACCUGGGUGCUCCUGUAUUGGGUCUGUAUAUGUUUAGGAUCGUUAGUUCUUCUUGUUGUAUCGAUCCUUUUACCAUUAUGUAAUGUCCUUCUUUGUCUCUUUUGAUCUUUGUUGCUUUAAAGUCUAUUUUAUCAGAGAUGAGAAUUGCAACUCCAGCUUUUUUUCUCUCCAUUUGCUUGGUAAAUCUUCCUCCAUCCCUUUAUUUUGAGCCUUUGUGUAUCCUUGCAUGUGAGAUGGGUUUUGGCUUUUUAUCCAAUUUGCCAGUCUGUGUCUUUUGAUUGGUGCAUUUAGCCCAUUUACAUUUAGGGUUAAUAUUAUUAUGUGUGAAUUUGAUGCUGCCAUUUUGAUGCUAGCUGGCUGUUUUGCCUGUUAGUUGAUGCAGAUUUUCCAUUUUGUUGAUGCUCUUUAGCAUUUAGUGUGUUUUUGGAAUGGCUGGUGCUGGUUGUUCCUUUCUAUGUGUAGUGCCUCUUUCAGGAGCUCUUGUAAAGCAGGCCCGGUGGUGACAACAUCUCUGAGUACUUGCUUGUUUGCAAAG
rnacentral:lncRNA from 1 species